rnacentral:lncRNA from 1 species
CCAGGCUCAAGCGAUUCUCAGGUCUUGGCUUCCUGAGUAGCUGGGGUUACAGGCACGCACCACCAUGCCCAGCUAAUUUUUGUGCUUCCAGUAGAGAUGGGGUUUCGCCAUGUUGUCCAGGCUGGUCUCCAACUGCUGACCUCAAGUGAUCUGCCCACCUUGGCCUCCCAAAGUCCCGGGAUUACAGGUGAGAGCCACCACGCCAGACCCUACAGCCUUUUUUCUUGUGCCGCCACUAGAGCAGGGAGCCAGAAACAGUCUCUCUCUUAGGCUCCUUCAGUCAUGAGCCUCCAGUGUUCACAGCUCAAGAUCUAGCGUGGUCCCACCAAAGCCUCUCACCUUGGCCUGGAUGUGAGAGAAAAGCACCCAUUCUCGUUCCCCACAGGAGGGGAUAUAAUGCCAUAAUACUGAAUAUUUUUCCAAAGACAUUUCUGCUCCAAGCUUCUUCAAUUCAACAAUUCUAUGAGAUAUGAGACAUACAUAUAUUCUCGAUUGGAAA